UAUUGUGUGAUCUGGCACACAAAACACGCACGCCAAUCGUUGCCUACGGGCAAUGGUUGUGUGUUGUGCGUUGAAAUUUAAAAUUUUUUCAUUAAAAACAACUAAAAUAACCGAAACAUUUUUCUCGCAUACACAGACACACACUUAGUGUAUCCUUUUAUUAUUAUUUUUUGUUCGAACGAAGAAAAAUGCCAAAUUCAUCAUCUUAUUUUGUUAAUCGGAUUUUUGAGACGUUUUCCGUUUUUUUUUUUUUCGGUUUCGGUUAAGUUUUUGAAAGCGAGAGAAAAAUUCAAUGCUGAUUGAAUUAAAAACACACAAAGUUCUAUUUAAUAAUUUAAUUGACCAUUUUUUUAAAACUACAAUCGAAUUAAAUUUAUUGUCACCCUUGGACUUUAAAUUUUGAACUCGAACUCAACGACCCGAUUCCACCAAGUCCAGCCACGGUUAUGAUGAUUCGUCAUUACACGAUGUAGCAAAACAUAAAAUUCGUUAAUUCGGUUGAUUGCUUUGUUUUUAAAUUCGCGGUUCAAUUUUAGUUACAUAACCAUUUAAAUCGUCUCCAAGCUGUCUGCAACACAACCGCAUUGCAAGCAACGCAAAAUAAGGAACACACACGAUGACAAAGUAUGCAAUGUGCACAUAUUUCUCUCGUCGAUUUCGGGCUGGCGGCUGAUGUGUGUUGUAUUGCUUUUGUUCGCCAAGGAAAUCGACCGGUGAAAAUAUUUUUGUCUUCGGCCAAAUAAGACGGCGACAACGAUGCUACAACUAAGCUGAGCUGGUGCUAUCGCUAUCCAACUGGCUAAUACCCAAAAAGUUUUGUGUCAAAGGAACGGCCAACAACCGAAAUUGACACACAGAGAAUAAGAAGAAGAAGAAGAUGAAGAAUAAAAAAAGCGUCGAAAAUUUGCGAUUUUGCUGGCCCCGAAUCAAAUCAUCAUCACACACAGUGUGAGUGAAAAUUGCCCCAAAACGAUAUGGCAUUGCGACGAAACGAGACGCAAAAUCGAAAAAUUGAAAAUCAUUCUGUUGGCACUGGUGCGUUGAUCUGUUUUGGCGACCGACGAUUUCAUACCUUGUCAAUGAUGGCUUUGGCUUUCAUUCUCAUCACGACACACUCUCACCCUAAAUCAUCACAUCUCACGAGCCAGAAAAUAUCUUCACUCUCUUGUAGUGCCAACCAUUUCAGUUUGUGUCGAAAUUUCAUUCGGAUCAGAGUACAGAGGCUUGAGCUCGAUGAAAUCACAAAUCGGAUUCAAAAUCAAUGCAAAAUAUUUUUGAUUUUUGCCUUUCAUCAAGUAUCUCAACCGUUCGUCGAUACGCGCAACAUCAACCGCAAAAUGAUCGUAACGUUCAUGAAACAAGUUCAUAAAAUGAUGGAACAAUUUAAAUUAAUCAACGACAAUUCAAUCAAGUCGCAUAAAAUAUUCAACAUUUAAAUGUAGUGUGAUUGUUUUUUUUUUAGUUUCGUUUGAACAUAGCCGAUUAAUUUGUGAAAGUUAUGUGUCGCGUAAUGCUAUAAAUGCAAACAACUCUAUUUUGCUUUAAUUAGACUAGUUUCAUACGGCUUUUGCAAAAACACCCAAACCGAAACAUAUUUCCAUAAUUAAAAUAACCGUAAUAAUUAACCCUCCUCAAUAAAAUAUAAUCACCAAUAUAAUCAAUGCAAAUCUACACCGGCGGGUUUAAAUUAUAAAAUAUACUCAACAAUUAAAUAGCACUCUAUACAAAAUAAACAUGAAUUAUUUAGUGACAAACAAAUCGAUGUGAAUAACCCAAUUCACACACAGAAAAAAAUGAGCAAUUCAUUUUAAAAUGCCCGCUGAGAAUCGCGUACUCACUCUACUGUACUGUAUGACCAAAUGCGCACUUGUUGAAAGUGACAAAUCUAUCGAAUUCUACCGAAAACUGAAAAUUCACCCGAAAAAGAUGACAGUCUAUCACCCGGAACUUUUGCGAGCUGAAACACACAUCGUUCUUAUAUCGACUCAUCGGAUAAUCCGAAAACACACCAAAUGCUGGCUCAUCCGAACGAAACAUAAUGCAAUACCAAUAUAUUCUUCACUUUAACCAGUUUUAAUAGCACACAAUUAAUACUUGUACAUACAUAAGUUAAAUCACUUAAAAUUUAUGAACCCUUAAAGUACUUACCACAAAUAUCUCUAUCGGAAUAAAAAUGGAAUAGUUUUUCGAGUGCAAAGAAAUGCUUACGAUUCAAGUGAUGAACGAGAAUUAAGAGAAAAAAUUCCAAUUGAUUAUUUUGCGCACGAACACUAUCAAUUGUCCCUUGUAAAAUCGUUGCUGAUAAUCCGUUGGUAUUUUUGCUCAUGAAAAAUAUUUUGUCUGUAAAUAGAUUUGUCGACUCACUUGAAUAAUGUAACCAUUUGUCAUUAUGCACAAAAAAAAAGAUAUAAAAAAGCCAAAAAAAAAAAUGAACGGAGGAAAGGGAAGAGCGAAUAACAAUACGACAUAUUUAUAAAAAGAAAUGAGAAUGUGACAAAUUCGAAUCAGAUAAUUAGUUAAGUGUAAGUCGUAUGUAAUAUUUAGUUGGUUUCGGGUCACUGUACGAUUGAAAAGCCAACACUUGGAAUAAACAAAGCUCUUGUCACACACACACUACAUGACAUUCUGCAUUGUAGUGCAAUUAUGAAAAUCUUUGGAUUAGAUUAAGUUUUACAGUGUGAAUUUCAUGGUUCAAAUUUCGACGGUGCACAUAAUCGAUUGGAGUAUGUUUUGCUCUCAAUAUUUAAAAUGCAUGCGAAAAAAUACCCUUGUGAUUUGAACACACGAAAUUCAACGUCAUUUUUGAUAAAUCGAAUCGUUGGAUGUGUCCAUAAAACUGUAAAAUGCUUUCAACUGAGGCGAAACAUUUCAGAAUUUAUCGGACCGAAAGCCAAAAGUCGAUUUUAUCAAAGAGCACACAUCGGUAUCUUUUGGUUAGAUAUUUAUUCAAAUACAAGAAGUAUUUAAUGAAACGAAUAUGGUUCCAAUGUAGAAAAUUCCUUUAGAACGUAUAAUGAUGUAUAAAUUGAGAUGAUAGUAUUGUAGUUGGUAUUUAGAGUUAUUUUUCGGUUUUGUUUUUGUUUUUCAAUGGAAUAUCCAUACAUAUACACAAAUCAGCGCUCACAUUAAUCAAAUAAUAACUAUUACAUACAACUAGCUCUAUAUCAAAUAUGCAAGGCACAUUACUUUAGGCGAAACUAUUGACUCAACACCAUCAAAGAGAUAUACCACUUAGUUACCAUUGAUUCCAUGGGUAGCAAUUAGAAAAGUUUUGCGUGUUUUUUUUCUCUGUUCUUCGUUAAGUUUAAUCCACAGUGAAUGAAGAUGAAUGACGAAGUUCAAGACUUCGACAAAUUAUAACGAUACGUAAACAUAGUGCGAGAUGAUCUUUUUUUUUAAAGAAAAAAACAUAACGAUAUGUACUUACCUAAAUCCGUAGCAAGUAUUUGACUAAUAAAAGCAAUGUAGCAGUUUAUGGUUUAACGAAAA